rnacentral:misc_RNA from 1 species
GCCUCGAACAACAUUCUGCUUCGAAUUCCGGCGUCGACAUUCAAGAAAUCUCAACUUUGAAUCACACAGAAAGGAAGCAGACGAAGACAGUGAUGCACUCCGUGUAAUCAGCUCCAUUUGCUUAAAGAAUUAUCCUCGUCGCCUGUUCAUGGAAAGCUAAAGAAAAACCAUAGCUUAGCUCAGUGAAAAUGUAUGAACUCUCAUUCAAGGCGUUGCAGUCGUUAACAGUGAAAGAGAGCAAACAGGGAACUCGUUGCUUCUGCCAUGGCCGUUCUUU